UACUAUUAAUCGAAAGGAGAGAUGGGUGGACAAUGAAGAACUAAUCUAAUUUUUAACAAAUGAAAUAGUAUAUUUCAGUUUAAAAACUUAGGAUUAGUCUGCCCAUUUUUCCAUAUACUAAAUAAAUGUAAGACUGAAUAGCUAAAAAGGCUAAAUAGUUUUAUUUGAGUCCUUAAAAAGUGACAUGACUAAUCCUUCCAACAUUAUUUGGGAGGAUUUUUUA
rfam:Caryophanon tenue strain DSM 14152 DSM_14152_R1_001_contig_25, whole genome shotgun sequence.